rnacentral:rRNA from 1 species
AAAACUCAAAGGAAUUGACGGGGACCCGCACAAGCGGUGGAGCAUGUGGUUUAAUUCGAUGCAACGCGAAAAACCUUACCACUCCUUGACAUGGAAAUUAUACCUAUUCGAAGGGAUAGGGUCGGUUCGGCCGGGUUUCACACAGGUGUUGCAUGGCUGUCGCCAGCUCGUGUCGUGAGAUGUUGGGUUAAGUCCCGCAGCGAGCGCAACCCUCAUCCUUAGUUACCAUCAGGUAAUGCUGGGGACUUUAAGGAGACUGCCAGUGAUAAACUGGAGGAAGGUGGGGAUGAUGUCAAGUCAUCAUGGCCCUUAUGGAGUGGGCUACACACGUGCUACAAUGGUGGCUACAAUGGGCUGCAAAGUCGCGAGGCUAAGCCAAUCCCUUAAAAGCCAUCUCAGUUCGGAUUGUACUCUGCAACUCGAGUGCAUGAAGUUGGAAUCGCUAGUAAUCGUGGAUCAGCACGCCACGGUGAAUACGUUCUCGGGUCUUGUACACACUGCCCGUCACGCCAUGGGAAUUGGUUUCACUCGAAGCUAACGACCUAACCGCAAGGAGGGAGUUAUUUAAAGCGGGAUCGGUGACUGGGGUG